GCUCGUCUUGAGAUCCAAAUGAAAAUUCAGUCUACUCUGAGAUGAGGACAGUUCUACAAGUUGACAGUCAGUCACAUUUUAAUUUGUUUCUGUAGUUUUGGACAAAGAAGAGGCAAUAUGCCAAUUCACUUGAUUAUUUAACUGGAAAUGUCUCUUGUCUACAUGGUCUGGACCAAUCUAUGUGACCUAUGCUGAGAUUGACUUCAGAAAGAUGGUCAAAACCCAGAAGAAGAAAAUCAACACCGCCGCCUGAGUCAGAAUAAGUCAAUUCUCCAAGAAAGACAGUCACAGUCCACAGUCCUUGAGGGAGAUGAACACAAUCAGUUGAGGAGCAGGAACAACCAGGGAAUGUGAACUUUGCACACACACUCUUUCUGUAGCUGCAGACAUUACACAGAAAUGUGACACACCCAUCACACACCCAGUCACGUAUGGGCCACACACACAGACAUAUGUUAUUUUAAAUGACAUGGGGUAAUGAUAAUAGGGUAAUGAUAAUGGAUGUUUUUUUUUUUAUCUUUGACUUCUUAAAUCAUUCAAAUAACUAAAUGAAAUAUCUGUAAAUUAAUUUCUCAAAAUAGAAGAAUUAUCCAGUUUUCUUGCAAUGGUCUUCAUUCUUUUUAAAUACUGUAUGUUUUAUACACCAGAUGGC
ensembl:lncRNA